rnacentral:snRNA from 1 species
AUUGCUUCUUGGUCUUUUGGCUAAGAUCAAAAGUAGUAUCUGUUCUUAUCAGUUUAAUAGCUGAUAUGUCCUCUAUCCAAGGACAAUAUAUUAUUAGAAAGGAAUGAAGUACU